rfam:Bilophila wadsworthia 3_1_6 genomic scaffold acCls-supercont2.1, whole genome shotgun sequence.
GGAAGGAUGGCAGAGAGGCCGAUUGCGGCGGUGAAAACCGUAGAGGGAUAAGCUCCUCCAAGGGUUCAAAUCCCUUUCCUUCCC